GCGCGGGUAGCUCAAUGGACCCAGAGCAGCCGUCUUCUACACGGUGGGUUGGGGGUUCGAGUCCCUCCCCGCGCGCCA
rnacentral:tRNA from 2 species